GAUUAACGCUGGCGGCGUGCCUAACACAUGCAAGUCGAGCGGCAGCGAGUUUUACACUGAAUUCUGGAAGCUUCUAGUUGAAAGAGAAGAUUUAUUCAAGAAUUUUGUGUAAAAUGUCGGCGAGCGGCGGACGGCUGAGUAACGCGUGGGAACGUACCCCAAAGUGAGGGAUAACGCAUCGAAAGGUGUGCUAAUACCGCAUAUGGUCUUCGGAUUAAAGCCUUCGGGCGCUUUGGGAACGGCCUGCGUAAGAUUAGAUAGUUGGUGGGGUAAUGGCCUACCAAGUCGACGAUCUUGAACUGGUUUGAGAGGAUGAUCAGUCAGACUGGAACUGAGACACGGUCCAGACUCCUACGGGAGGCAGCAGUGAGGAAUCUUCCACAAUGGGCGAAAGCCUGAUGGAGCAACGCCGCGUGCAGGAUGAAGGCCUUCGGGUUGUAAACUGCUUUUAUAAGUGAGGAUUAUGACAGUAACUUAUGAAUAAGGAUCGGCUAACUACGUG
rnacentral:rRNA from 1 species